rnacentral:rRNA from 1 species
CACGUAGGGGGCUAGCGUUGUCCGGAUUUAUUGGGCGUAAAGAGCGUGUAGGCAGCCAUGUAGGUCCGGUGUGAAAACUCGAGGCUUAACCUCGAGAUGUCAUCGGAAACCAUUUGGCUAGAGUCCGGAAGAGGAGAGUGGAAUUCCUGGUGUAGCGGUGAAAUGCGCAGAUAUCAGGAAGAACACCAAUGGCGAAAGCAGCUCUCUGGGACGGUACUGACGCUGAGACGCGAAAGCGUGGGGAGCGAACAGG